GGAAUAGAGACUACAGAAUCAGGCCCCGGGAUGAUAAAGGAUGGAAGGUAAAGCAUCAGGACUAUGAUGGAGGUACAAGUAACAAGAUUGCUACAACUGAAAGAAAUUAGAGAAAGGAAUGGAGCCCAAACUGCUGAGGAAUAUGCUGAUGGGUCUUGCCAGCAUGUCAUGAAUCACAGUCGAGUUACUGCUUAAGCUACAAACUGACAGUGAGGAGUCCAAUGAUGAUGUCGACUCGCAUGACGCAUACGACACGAGAUUGCUUGUGGCAUUCAUGGACAUGUUCACCACUGUAGAAUGCCGCUUUUGGGCUCAGGAAACAAGCACUGAGUGGUGGGAUCACAUCUUCAUGCAAGUCUGGGAU